AUGCUCCCUCGAGUGCUUUUCUCUGUCCACGGCUUGCAUUUUGACAAAGGAGGAAGGCCAGGAAAGUGUAGAGGUGUGAUCAAAUGGAUGUCCAUCGUACUUCAAUCGCCACAAGCACCCGAGUGGACAGAAGGAGACACGGAGCCUUGCAGUGCUGAGCAGGCAACGUCACACCUCUUGAGGACAGCCAGGAGGACUCCAGCUUUUGCUGAGCUUCACAUCUUGCCUCCUUCCUUCCAUCUUACUCCAGACCCAAGUGUGGCGGUCCUCAAGGCCCUUGUGCCCCUGGCCAGGCGCUCCACUGCCCUUCCAGGCCAGCCCAGUUCUGGAGCUCACCUCCAGGACCUGGAGCCUGCCCUCCUGCCCAGAAUGACUCACCAUUAUUUCUCGCUCAAGUGAGAAGACGUGAUGGGCAGUCGGGCUGCCUAUUUGUGUAUCUAGGAUUCCCACAGUAUCUGAUCAGCCCUUCGAGGAAGAGAGCUUCAGGUUCCUGCCUUGCCAGGUAAAUCAGUCUCUUAUUUAAUAACAGCCGUGUGUAGAGUAACUGGAGAGGGGGCCGUGAGGGAGACCCAAGCCCAAGAUCCACCACUGUGAAUUCCUCCCAGGGUGCAGGUAUCUGCAAGACAUUAGUUCAGUGCCUGGGAGAGGGCUCCCUUUCAGCCUCUAGUAUGGGGCUCUGCUCUAUGACACCUGCACUCCUGUGCAGUGCAGAGGGGGGGCCCUGUACCAGCCACCUUCCCCCAGCACAGGGCAAUCCAGAGCUUUCUCGAGAGACCGCCACCCGCUUGCCUCUGAUCCCCAGCCAGGUUACAAGGUGAACGUAAGCUUUGCUUUUUGAUGAUGGUGGUGGCAGUGGUGGUGAUGGGGAUGCCCAUGGCGGUCAUGUUUCCGAGCUCUUGGCUGAGAGAGAGGAGUCAAGGAGCAGCAAGGCAGGUCAGGCUGCCAAUGCUGAGUGGUCUCACCUCCUUAACUGCCUCUGUCUUUCAGCCAAGCCGGGCUAUCUCUCUGGCCCUCAGAGAGCCAUCAGGGCUCUCCUGCAGGAACCCAGGCCAAUGCUCCUGUGUUUCCUGGGGCCGUAAGCAGCACCCUGAGCUCCCUGCCACCAGGCAGCUGGAAGGCAUAGCGUGAGA
rnacentral:lncRNA from 1 species